UCUGAAAAACUAAGUUUUGUGGGUCCCAAGUUACCAUCUGGGAAAGAACUGUACAAAAUGUGUGUACUAUCCCUAAAUAAAAAGUUUCUGGACAAAAGAGUCGACACACCUUGGCGGUCUGUUCUACAUAUAAAGGAACAUGUAAAGCCACAAUGGAGAGCUUUGUACAAGUCACCAUUAACAAAAAAGUGUGGGGAUUUACAGUGGAGGAUUUUACACGGUGCAGUGGCUGUUAAUUCUUUUAUCUGUGUUUUAAACCCUGAUGUGAGUUAUGAAUGUCCUUUCUGUGCUGUGAGAGAAUCUGUGUUUCACAUGUUUAUGCACUGUGUGAGAUUGAAGCCUCUUUUUACUGUUUUACAGAGACUGCUUGGCCAUUUUAAUGAGAGUUUUACAAUCGAAACUUUUAUCUUUGGUUUUAAAUACUCUCAAAAAAAAAAAGGUUUAAGUGUCAGUUGAUAAAUUUUAUCAUAGGGCAGGCAAAGAUGGCCAUAUAUGUCAGCAGGAGAAACAGAAUUGAGUCAAAUUCAGGGGACAGCGUUUUAGUGGUUUUUGUGAUUCUGUUAAAAUCUAGGAUAUUAAUCGAUUUUAAGUUUUACCAAGAGAUGAAAGACCUUGUAUCAUUUGAGAAUAUCUGGUGUCUGGAAGGGGCAUUAUGUGUGGUUUUAGAAGAAAAAGUGAGAUUUCAUCAACUUUUAAAAGACUGUGUACGUACUGGUUGAAACUUGUUUGCUUAUUUUAUAUUCUUUACUCCUUGUGGGUUUUAAAGGCAACUGGAAGGAGAAUUAUUUGAAUUAUCUAUUUAUUUAUAUAUAUAUAUUUAGCGAGUAUCGUGUUCUUGUUUGUGUGUGUGAGAUUUGUGAAUAAAAAGGCUGCUUGAGUCACUUCUCAAGCCGUUAAACUUCUCUCAAAAAAUAUAAAAAUGUUUUAAAAUAAUCCUGAAAUUCUCGUCGGCGUUGGCUUACUGAGCGAUGAAGAGUCGGUUCAACUGAUUCAGUUCAUUCAUUCAAACCAUCGAAGUAGGAUAAGCGGCUUUGGUAAUGAUUCUUUAAAUGAAUCGAUUCAGAAUCCUCUUCUUGAAUCGUUUGAGUCGUUCUCACUCGGUCAGGGUUGCACGUGUGGGUUGCUUUUCCUGCACGUGUAAUCAGCACGUGUUCACAGACCGUAAAUCCCGACCCCAUGGUAGACACUCGACAGAAAUUUCAUACUAAAGUUGUGUUCGAGUUGUGCAGGCUUGUGUCACCUGACUUAAAGAAGGCAUUGUUUGAAGGGCUUGAUCAGCACCUCCCACGGCUCCUGCAGUUGUACAACACCGAGAGGCAGUGAAAUACCCGAAAUCCAACAUGUGAUGACCCGCAUUGAUCAAGAGACAGGAGCCUGUGGUUUCCUACUCUGAACGCUGUUCGAGCCAUGUCGACUUCAGGAGGCCCCACUCCAGCCUUCACCACCCUGUCAGUCACCCACCCAGCCAAUCACAUCACUCCUGUAGAGCUGCACCGACCAGAGAAACGCAACGCCAUGAACUAGGCCUACUGGAGGCACGGAUGCUGAUCACAGAGGAGAGCCUGAUGACCACGAUCGUCCGCACCUUCGAUGAUCACCUGAGACAUCGAGACCAGCAGGGACAAUUUCAGUUUUAACUCUACAGUGCACAAAAGGUCUUUAAAUUCCGCAGGGUCCAGAGUCUUAUAGAAGACCUCAAGUACGGCUGGAAAAAAGCAGAAUGUGUUACACUGUCUGUCAGAGAAUAUCAUUAUUAAUGAUAAUUAAUAGCUAAUCAUUCUCAUUAAACUUUUUUUUUUUAACUCAGAUAUGUCCUGAUUAGCCGUUCAACAGAGUGGACCGACAAGCUCAGGGAGAAGUUUCUGGAAGGACUUGAUGCUUUCUUGGAGCCGCUCAAGUCCAUGCAGGUAUGGACCCAGUAGUACGCGACGUGGACCAAGACAUAGAGAUGGAACCAUUGUGGGUGACAGCCUUCACAUUGCAGAUGAAGCUCACACACAUUAUCUCAGUGAUGCAAGAGUGGUGUGCCAGUGAUGUGAGUACUAACACACUCACCAGUACUAGUAUAUUACAAUAUGUGCACACUCUACAGGAGUUCUGGUAGUGCGACCAUAGCAGCAAAUGCACAUAUUAUUCCUGCACAAACUAAAACCAACAAGAUCUGUCUGAAGAUCACAGGACUUUUGUCUUUGUCAUGUCUUUGAGGUGUAUGGAAAUGAUUGGCUCCGAGUAGGGAUUUCUUGAAGGUCAAAGUUCUAUAUGUGGUUGUAAAUUUAAAUCUAUAUAUGGAAGCCUUCAAAUAAGAAGGAAGUAUUCGACGUGCAGGAAGUGGACAAAAUAACUAACAGUACAUGAAAAAGCAUCUUGACAAACACAGCUAUUGUGUAUGGGUGAAUCGUUGUGCCAGCUAACAGCA